CCUACGGGUGGCAGCAGUGGGGGAUAUUGCACAAUGGGGGAAACCCUGAUGCAGCGACGCCGCGUGGGUGAAGAAGCGCCUCGGCGCGUAAAGCUCUGUCAGCAGGGAAGAAGAUGACGGUACCUGAAGAAGAAGCCCCGGCUAACUACGUGCCAGCAGCCGCGGUAAUACGUAGGGGGCAAGCGUUAUCCGGAUUUACUGGGUGUAAAGGGGGCGUAGACGGCGAUGCAAGCCAGGAGUGAAAGCCCGGGGCCCAACCCCGGGACUGCUUUUGGAACUGCGUGGCUAGAGUGCAGGAGGGGCAGGCGGAAUUCCUGGGGUAGCGGUGAAAUGCGUAGAUAUCAGGAGGAACACCGGUGGCGAAGGCGGCCUGCUGGACUGCAACUGACGUUGAGGCCCGAAAGCGUGGGGAGCAAACAGGAUUAGAUACCCGGGUAGUC
rnacentral:rRNA from 1 species